rnacentral:rRNA from 1 species
UACGUAGGGUGCAAGCGUUGUCCGGAAUUAUUGGGCGUAAAGAGCUCGUAGGCGGUUUGUCGCGUCUGCUGUGAAAACCCGAGGCUCAACCUCGGGCCGGCAGUGGGUACGGGCAGACUAGAGUGCGGUAGGGGAGAUUGGAAUUCCUGGUGUAGCGGUGGAAUGCGCAGAUAUCAGGAGGAACACCAAUGGCGAAGGCAGAUCUCUGGACAGUUACUGACACUGAGGCACGAAGGCCAGGGGAGCAAACGGG